ensembl:snoRNA SNORD36 Small nucleolar RNA SNORD36
UUGCAAUGAUGCUUUGAAUUUCUUCAACUGAACAUAUCAUGUUGAUUGAAAUGAGCUUUUUAACUCUGAGCUAA